UGAGUACGAGACGCUAAGGCGUCGAAGUAGUGUAUGUCAUACUUCCAAGAAAAGCUUGCACUGUCAUUCAUAAAAAAUGCCUGUACCAUAACCGACACAGGUGGGUAGGUAGAGUAUACUAAGGGGCGCGAGAUAACUCUCUCUAAGGAACUCGGCAAAAUAACUCCGUAACUUCGGGAGAAGGAGUGCCUUAUUUAUAUAAGGUUGCAAUAACAAGAUCCAAGCAACUGUUUACCAAAAACACAGGUCUCCGCUAAGUCGCAAGACGAUGUAUGGGGGCUGACGCCUGCCCAGUGCCAGAAGGUUAAAGAAGUUGGUUAGCAAUAGCGAAGCUAGUAACUGAAGCCCUGGUGAACGGCGGCCGUAACAAUAACGGUCCUAAGGUAGCGAAAUUCCUUGUCGGGUAAGUUCCGACCCGCACGAAAGGCGUAAUGAUUUGGAUACUGUCUCGGAGAGGGACUCGGUGAAAUAGACUUGUCUGUGAAGAUGCGGACUACCUGCACCAGGACAGAAAGACCCUAUGAAGCUUUACUGUAACUUGAAAUUGAAAUUGGACUUUAUUCGCGCAGUAUAGGUGGGAGGCAUUGAAAAUAAUCUUGCGGGAAUAUUGGAGCCAUCAGUGAGAUACCACUCUUGUAGUGUUAGAUUUCUAACUUUGAAUCAUUAUCUGGUCAAAGAACAGUUUCAGGCGGGCAGUUUGACUGGGGCGGUCGCCUCCCAAAUGGUAACGGAGGCGUACAAAGGUUUCCUCUGAACGGGUAGAAAUCGUAUCUAGAGUGUAAAGGCAAAAGGAAGCUUGACUGUGAGACCUACAAGUCGAGCAGGGACGAAAGUCGGUCUUAGUGAUCUGACGGUACUGAGUGGAAAGGCCGUCACUCAACGGAUAAAAGUUACUCUAGGAUAACAGGCUGAUCUCCCCCAAGAGUUCACAUCGACGGGGAGGUUAGGCACCUCGAUGUCGGCUCAUCGCAUCCUGGGGCGGUAGUACGUCCCAAGGGUUGGGCUGUUCGCCCAUGAAAGCGGUACGCGAGCUGGGUUCAGAACGUCGUGAGACAGUUCGGUCCAUAUCCGGUGUAGGCGUUAGAAUAUUGAGAGGAGCCUUCUUUAGUACGAGAGGACCGAGAAGGACAUACCUCUGGUGUACCAGUUAUCGUGCCAACGGUAAACGCUGGGUAGCUAUGUAUGGAGUGGAUAACCGCUGAAAGCAUCUAAGUGGGAAGCCCACCUCAAGAUGAG
rnacentral:rRNA from 1 species